rnacentral:rRNA from 1 species
UCUACUAUWAUGGGAUAGCUCGGGAACUCGAAUAAUACCGCAUACGACUACGGAGAAAGGGGCAGUUUACUSUCUCGCUAUUAGAUGAGCCUAAGUCGGAUUAGCUAGAUGGUGGGGUAAAGGCCUACCAUGGCGACGAUCUGUAGCUGGUCUGAGAGGAUGAUCAGCCACACCGGGACUGAGACACGGCCCGGACUCCUACGGGAGGCAGCAGUGGGGAAUAUUGGACAAUGGGGGAAACCCUGAUCCAGCCAUGCCGCGUGUGUGAAGAAGGCCUUUUGGUUGUAAAGCACUUUAAGCAGUGAAGAAGACUCCGUGGUUAAUACCCACGGACGAUGACAUUAGCUGCAGAAUAAGCACCGGCUAACUCUGUGCCAGCAGCCGCGGUAAUACAGAGGGUGCAAGCGUUAAUCGGAAUUACUGGGCGUAAAGGGAGCGUAGGUGGCUCGAUAAGUCAGAUGUGAAAUCCCCGGGCUCAACCUGGGAACUGCAUCUGAUACUGUUGAGCUAGAGUAUGUGAGAGGAAGGUAGAAUUCCAGGUGUAGCGGUGAAAUGCGUAGAGAUCUGGAGGAAUACCGAUGGCGAAGGCAGCCUUCUGGCAUAAUACUGACACUUUGGCUCGAAAGCGUGGGUAGCAAACAGGAUUAGAUACCCUGGUAGUCCACGCCGUAAACGAUGUCUACUAGUCGUUGGGUCCCUUGAGGACUU